rnacentral:rRNA from 1 species
CAGCCGCCGCGGUAAUACGUAGGUGGCAAGCGUUGUCCGGAAUUAUUGGGCGUAAAGGGCUCGCAGGCGGUUUCUUAAGUCUGAUGUGAAAGCCCACGGCUCAACCGGGGAGGGUCAUUGGAAACUGGGAAACUUGAGUGCAGAAGAGGAGAGUGGAAUUCCACGUGUAGCGGUGAAAUGCGUAGAGAUGUGGAGGAACACCAGUGGCGAAGGCGACUCUCUGGUCUGUAACUGACGCUGAGGAGCGAAAGCGUGGGGAGCGAACAGGAUUAGAGACCCCAGUAGUCCCUGUCUCUUAUAC